GUAGUUAUGGCCGAGUGGCUAAGGCGAUGGACUAGCAAUCCAUUGGGGUUUUCUGGCACAGGUUCACAUCCUGUCAACUACA